GAAAAUUUUUAUUAAUAAGUCGAUGCUGGAACGAACGUGGAGGGAGGAAUCGGAAUUUCGAGUGGAGCGUGGCUGAUUCAAUGAAAGUAUCCUCCUGAAAACGACGAGGGAACAAGCUCGAACAACCAAAGAGAAUUUCUCGAGAACCUGCGUGGAAUUACUAUCCGGUGGAGAGAUUGAAUCGUCAGGAAAGAAACUUGAGCACCAGGAAUUCGAGCACCGUCCACCCGAGCAUCGAAGCGAUAAUUACAAGGAAAUCGAGUGCGAACGAGCGGUGUUUAUCGGCUGCGAUCGGCCAAGCCACUGGCGGGCCAAUCGAUAAAAAGAGAGAGAGAAAGAGAGAGAGAGAGAGGGGAAGAGAAUCUGUGUCAGAGGUUGCUUAUGCCUCGGAUUUAUGGGUUUGAUUACUCGCCGUGGCGGCAUACGUGCCGCGAUUUUGUAUGGGUAAAUCGUGAUCCUCCACGCCUCCUUGCCACGGCCUUCCCUCCACCCCGCCCUGGCGAAACCCCGAUCGCGUAUAAAGUUAUCGCAUUCCCGGCCCCGUAAGUGUCCAUUGUCUACUUUCAGGCCCGCAUUAUGCCCGUUCCUUCUCUUCCCACCGACUUCCCAUCCUGCCCGCUGUAAUUUCACUUUUACAGCCGCGUAUCCAAUUGACCGGCGAUAAUCCCCGUGUGUGCCACCUCUCCUCCUCAUCCUCUCUUUGCUCCGACGAAUCUUUACUCUAAAUCUGCUCGUUAGAUCCUAUGGAAAUUUAUGUAAUAAUUCUUCUCAAACUCCAAUGUUAGUAUACACGUUAUUGGAAAGUUUUGCAAGGAAGAAUUGUCAGAGGUUUGUUGAACAAGUUUGUUGAGAUUUUUAUGUAUAUAUAAUUGUAUAUCACAAACUUCACUUUUAUAUUUCUUUCCUUCUCGUUUCAUAUUAUAUAUCACUCUAAAUUCUCGCUCAUAAUUCUCAAUUUUCUCUCUCGUUCCAAGGUACUUACGGGCUGGAGCAAAGACGCAACCAUCAGAGCCGUGAUGAUGGUGAAGAUGGAGGGGCACGAAACGGUCGAAAAACGGCGCAUCAAUCUUGCACCGGCUCUCCCGAAGCGUGGCCAAAGUCCCUCGAGGAGGAGGACGGUGUCGGGGAGAGACGUCGCUCGGCGAGAAGAUGAGAAACGUCGCGGGAGGUCCGGGAUUGAUGGACAUCCUCACCUACACGCCUGAUUAUUUGCCACCACACGCAGCUUUCGGCCCCAACCCGUAACCCGGCUCCGUAACCGCUCUUACGCGUGUUGCCACGGAUUCACACCGAUAAUCACGUCGAUCGUUAGCGCCUCAUUCACGCCUCAUCUCGACAAACGUCGCUGGAUCGUUGAUUUCCAUACCUUCCUUACCUCGUUCUCGAGGUUUCGAAGAAGUUAGAUUUUCUUGGUUUUUGAGAUUAGCAUCGAUUUGAAAUUCAAUUUUUAUAUAAUUUAUAUAUGGGUAUUUAUAUAUGGGUAAUGCUUUGGACUUUAGUGUUUAAGUAAGUUAGUCUUGGAUUUCUUGAUUUUUGGAGUUAGCAUUGCUUUGGAAUUCAAGGGUUUUUAUUUAGUUUGAUGAAUAAUGCUUUUAAUCUUUAAAUACAUUUCUAUAUUUCCUUCUUUUUGAGGUUAAUAUCGAUUCUUCUUUACUCUUCCUAUCUUAUAGCUUCCAAGAAGUUAAAGGAUACCUCUUUAUGAUUAAUCUCUCGACUUUUAGUCUUUGAUCUUUCGCAUCUUUGUGAUCUUUAUCCCCAUUUUACAUCAUUCUACAUCGUUCCUUUUCCAAUGUUUAAAAUUCCCACUAAUGUUUCCACCGAUUCGUUCCCUUCUCAAACGGCAACACCUUGAUUCACGAACAAAUUUCAAUUACUCUCCCAUUCGUUUAAAUUAAGAGUUUGAUUUUUCAAUUCAUUCGAAUCAUUUCCCCAUUUUCUUGCUUGCGUGAUUUUUAAUCGACCAAGUAAACGGGAGGUAAGCAGGUGUAACCGCAUUAUAAAAGCCGCUUCUCAACACCUCAUCUCUCAUCGCGUUUCUUCGUUGAUGAUGCUCGAAACUGGUCGGCUCAUUAGUAUGUGAGGGGCUGGUUGCCACCUACCGGGCGGGGCAGCGGGUCAUUGAAACAAUGGUGUUAUGACUAGACAUCAUCAGAGAGUCCCGGUCUGAUCGAUUUCCUUGGAUGAUCGAUCGAUUCAGCGUUUCUCCAUUUGCUGACCUCUCUCUCUUUCUCUCCUCUCUUAAAGGACUUCCUCUUCCUCGCGCUAUUUCCACCUCUCGUCCAUCGCCUAUGUACUCGAUAUAUAUAUACAUGUGUACACCUUAGAAAAUGAACACUGUGUAAUUACUCGAAGCUUUCUGUACACGUAAUCUCGAUGUAAAUUAGUUGGGUAAUUUAUUCGAGGGAAAUCAAUGAAGGGGCAUACACAGGAUCGGUAUAAAUCAGACACGGAACGUUCCUUUUUCUCUAUCUUCGUCUCUCUCCCUCCCUCUCUCUAUUUCUCUUUCUCUCUCUCUGUCUAACAGGAAGCAUCGCUUAUUCGAUCAAAUCGAUCGAUGGCUAAUAGACCUCUGCCGCGGGAGGAUCAUUAAUUAUGGCGUAAUACUACGUCGAGGAUGCGUCGAUCAACCCAAGAGAAGGGAACUGUUCCUCUCCUCUUUUAAGAGAAGAGAGAAAGAGAGAGAGAGAGAGAGAGAGAGAGAGAGAGAGAGAGAGAGAGACAGUUAAGCCAGGUAACCAAAGUUUUGGGCUGGAAACGUUGCCAGGCCUGCGCAGCCCUCAUCCUCCUACCCCGAAAAAGGGUACAGAGUGCCAGUCAUAUAUUAGAGAACUGUUGGGGACACCUAACAAGCUGGCAGGACACGUUUCCCAGAAUCGGGGCUAACCGCCACCCUCUAUGGCUCUCUCCCACCCCUCCCCAGGUUUUCUCCUUUUGUUUUCUCGAUAUUCCACCACGUAUUUCACGUCCAACUGGAAGCCAGCCGCGGAUAGAUAUUGUUUCGCACGCUCGUUUCACGCUCCUCGUAGACGAUCCUCUCUCUCUCUCUCUCUCUCUCUAAACCGUUCAUUCUUCUCCGAUUUUCUAAUCAACUCGAAGAACCCGUUAUUCUACGCGCAACGUUUUAUAACUUUAUAUAUUCUCUUUCCAAUAAUUAUUUUUCGAUCAAUUGAAUUGCUAGAAGAAUUUUGGUAUUCGAAAUAAAGUUAAUAUAGAGAUAGUUGCGAGACGAAUAAUAAUAGAAUAAUAGCAGUAGAAAUAAGUAACGCAUUUAUAGAUAAUUCAAAGGAACGAUCAUUUAAUAAUUUCAGAUCCACGUAGUUUUAAUCUCCUUUUUUUUUUUUUUUUUUCGUUCGUCUCCUUCGUUUCUCCCCCCUUCCUUUUUUUUUAUUGCUACUUUGUUCGAAGCGGAUGGCUUUUAAAAGUUUAAUUACCCAGGUUUAAGAGGUUUUCGCAACGGGGUAUUAAGGCGAGCGCGCAACUAUCGUCCCCCUCCUCCAGGCUUAUCGGUGAUUAUUAAUCCGGUAGUUCCCUUUUAUAUACAUGGUGAGCUGUGCAACCUGUUCGCCCAGGAAUUAUUAUUAACAAGAUCGCGCAACCCUCGGGGCAUUAAACGAUAAAUAGAAACGGUACCACUCGCGGCAUUAAACUGUCUAGAGAUUGAGUAAAAAGCUGGUGUGGUGUAUAUAAAAGGAAGGGAGUCAUUUCUGUUCUUGAAAAGUAUUGAAUUGAAAAAGAGGAGUAUGGAUUAAAGGUGAUAAGAUUCUAGUGGGCAAUUAAAAUUAACUCAUCAUCGACGACGCCUCUCGCACAACUGUUACUCGAUCCGGAACCGAGAUGAAAUUACACAAUUUCCACGGUUGUUUUCCACGGUUUUUUAACCACUGAUCGAUACAAAAGUCUCGAAAGGAAGGAAAAAGCAUCGAUAAUUUCAGCUUUUCACUCGACACUGACUCACGAGAUCGUCUCUACCUGGAAUUGGAACUCGACAUUUUCAACUUUUGAGAAGCUUGGUUAGAAACUUGAGACACGCA